UACGGGAGGCAGCAGUGGGGAAUAUUGCACAAUGGGCGCAAGCCUGAUGCAGCCAUGCCGCGUGUAUGAAAAAGGCCUUCCGGGUUGUAAAGUACUUUCAGUCGUGAGGAAGGUGUUAAGGUUAAUAACCUUAGCAAUUGACGUUAGCGACAGAAGAAGCACCGGCUAACUCCGUGCCAGCAGCCGCGGUAAUACGGAGGGUGCGAGCGUUAAUCGGAAUUACUGGGCGUAAAGGGCACGCAGGCGGUUAAUUAAGUUGGAUGUGAAAUCCCCGGGCUUAACCUGGGAAUGGCAUUCAAGACUGGUUAGCUAGAGUCUUGUAGAGGGGGUAGAAUUCCAUGUGUAGCGGUGAAAUGCGUAGAGAUGUGGAGGAAUACCGGUGGCGAAGGCGGCCCCUGGACAAAGACUGACGCUCAUGUGCGAAAGCGUGGGGAGCAAACAGGGAUUAGAUACC
rnacentral:rRNA from 1 species